UACAGAGGGGGCAAGCGUUGUUCGGAAUUACUGGGCGUAAAGGGCGCGUAGGCGGCCUGCUAAGUCGAACGUGAAAUCCCCGGGCUCAACCUGGGAACUGCAUCCGAUACUGGAUGGCUUGAAUUCGGGAGAGGGAUGCAGAAUUCCAGGUGUAGCGGUGAAAUGCGUAGAUAUCUGGAGGAAUACCGGUGGCGAAGGCAGCAUCCUGGGCCGACAUUGACGCUGAUGAGCGAAAGCUAGGGGAGCAAACGGG
rnacentral:rRNA from 1 species